rnacentral:rRNA from 1 species
GAUGAACGCUGGCGGCGUGCCUAACACAUGCAAGUCGAACGGAGAUUACGGACGGAAGUUUUCGGAUGGAAGCCUGUAAUUCUUAGUGGCGGACGGGUGAGUAACGCGUGGGCAACCUGCCCUAUACAGGGGGAUAGCAGCUGGAAACGGCUGGUAAGACCGCAUAAGUCGGUUAAAUCGCAUGAUUUGAUCGGGAAAUGAGCAAUCAGGUAUAGUAUGGGGCCGCGUCCGAUUAGCCAGUUGGUAGGGUAAAAGCCUACCAAUGCGACGAUCGGGAGCCGGGCGGGUGACGCGCCCCAUCAGGACUGAGCUACGGCCCAGCCUACUACGGGAGGCAACGGUGGGGAAUAUUGCACAAUGGGCUGAAGCCUGAUGCGGUGAAGCCGCGUGGGGGAUGACGGCCUUCGGGUUGUAAACCGCUUCCGCAUGAGAAGAAGCGUGAGUGACGGUAAUGGGUAAAGAAGCACCGGCUAACUACGUG